AUUGAACGCUGGCGGCAGGCCUUACACAUGCAAGUCGAACGAGUGGCGGACGGGUGAGUAAUGUCUGGGAAACUGCCUGAUAGCGGGGGAUAACUACUGGAAACGGUAGCUAAUACCGCAUACCAUCGGAUGUGCCCAGAUGGGAUUAGCUAGUGGGUGGGGUAAAGGCUCACCUAGGCCACGAUCCCUAGCUGGUCUGAGAGGAUGACCAGCCACACUGGAACUGAGACACGGCCCAGACUCCUACGGGAGGCAGCAGUGGGGAAUAUUGGACAAUGGGCGCAAGCCUGAUGCAGCCAUGCCGCGUGUAUGAUGAAGGCCUUCGGGUUGUAAAGUACUUUCAGCGGGGAGGCGGUACCCGCAGAAGAAGCACCGGCUAACUACGUGCCAGCAGCCGCGGUAAUUC
rnacentral:rRNA from 1 species